UGGGGAAUAUUGCACAAUGGGCGCAAGCCUGAUGCAGCCAUGCCGCGUGUGUGAAGAAGGCCUUCGGGUUGUAAAGCACUUUCAGCGGGGAGGAAGGCGUUAAGGUUAAUAACCUUGGCGAUUGACGUUACCCGCAGAAGAAGCACCGGCUAACUCCGUGCCAGCAGCCGCGGUAAUACGGAGGGUGCAAGCGUUAAUCGGAAUUACUGGGCGUAAAGCGCACGCAGGCGGUCUGUCAAGUCGGAUGUGAAAUCCCCGGGCUCAACCUGGGAACUGCAUUCGAAACUGGCAGGCUAGAGUCUUGUAGAGGGGGGUAGAAUUCCAGGUGUAGCGGUGAAAUGCGUAGAGAUCUGGAGGAAUACCGGUGGCGAAGGCGGCCCCCUGGACAAAGACUGACGCUCAGGAGCGAAAGCGUGGGGAGCAAACAGG
rnacentral:rRNA from 1 species